UUGUGAUGAAAAAAAAAUGGUGAAUUAAAAAGGGAAUCCGGUGCAAAACCGGAGCUGUACCCGCAGCUGUAAUUUUUCAAAACUGGCAGCAUUUUUUGCCACUGUCCCGAUUUAUCGGGACGGGAAGGCGCUGCCAAUAGAAAAUAAGCCAGAAGACCUGCCAUUUUUUAUAAUGCUUU
rnacentral:ncRNA from 1 species